AAUGGUUCACAGAUCAAGUUCUGGUCAGUUCUGACUUUGUCGAAUUAAACCAGGAGCUUGGAAAUGAAUUUUUGAAUGAAACCAAUUGGGGGAUAAUUGGUUUAUACCAUGGUGAUAACCGAGAGAGGCAAUUGCUAAGUUGUGAUGCACUCAUGCCUCUACUAGAUGCGAACAAUUCCGGAGAAGAAGAAGAAGUGGAAUCGGAAGAGAAGAUUAUUUAUAUUGUUGGAAUUCUUAUAUUGAUGGAGUUGAAGAAGUACAGGGACAAAUAAGCCAAGGCAAGCCACCUUUGAACUCUGAUUGAUGUGGUGUUGGAGGUCAAUUGUUGAUGUCCCUAAGCAUCUUAUUCCUAUAUGUGUUGUUCUCUCUAUGUUGGUCUACGUAUGGUUG